GGUCGAAAGGUGCAGUUGGUUAUCACGUCAGCCUAACACACUGAAGGUGUCCGGUUCAAGCCCAGGUUUUGGUCA